GCAUAGGUGGUUCAGUGGUAGAUUCUUGCCUUCCAUGCACAAGACCCAGGUUCAAUUCCCGGCCAGUGCA
rnacentral:tRNA from 1 species